AAGUUAAGCCAGGGGUGCUUAAUGCUGAGAUAGGUUUAACCUUGUCCCUUAUCAUCUGAACUGGGUAAUGCCAGCGUAGAGAGAGCAUGAUAGAAACAAU
rnacentral:ncRNA from 1 species